AGCGAACGCUGGCGGCAGGCCUAACACAUGCAAGUCGAACGAAGUCUUCGGACUUAGUGGCGGACGGGUGAGUAACACGUGGGAACGUGCCUUUAGGUUCGGAAUAACUCAGGGAAACUUGUGCUAAUACCGAAUGUGCCCUUCGGGGGAAAGAUUUAUCGCCUUUAGAGCGGCCCGCGUCUGAUUAGCUAGUUGGUGAGGUAAAGGCUCACCAAGGCGACGAUCAGUAGCUGGUCUGAGAGGAUGAUCAGCCACAUUGGGACUGAGACACGGCCCAAACUCCUACGGGAGGCAGCAGUGGGGAAUCUUGCGCAAUGGGCGAAAGCUUGACGCAGCCAUGCCGCGUGAAUGUUAAGCCCUUCGGGGUGUAAAGUUCUGUCAGUGGGGACGAAAUUUGACGGUACCCACAGAGGAAGCACCGGCUAACUCCGUGCCAGCCGCCGCCGUAACAC
rnacentral:rRNA from 1 species